AUUGAACGCUGGCGGCAUGCUUUACACAUGCAAGUCGAACGGUAACAGGCCGCAAGGUGCUGACGAGUGGCGAACGGGUGAGUAAUGCAUCGGAACGUGCCCAGUCGUGGGGGAUAACGCAGCGAAAGCUGUGCUAAUACCGCAUACGAUCUAUGGAUGAAAGCGGGGGACCGUAAGGCCUCGCGCGAUUGGAGCGGCCGAUGUCAGAUUAGGUAGUUGGUGGGGUAAAGGCCUACCAAGCCAACGAUCUGUAGCUGGUCUGAGAGGACGACCAGCCACACUGGGACUGAGACACGGCCAAGACUCCUACGGGGGGCAGCAGUGGGGAAUUUUGGACAAUGGGCGCAAGCCUGACCCAGCAAUGCCGCGUGCAGGAAGAAGGCCUUCGGGUUGUAAACUGCUUUUGUACGGAACGAAACGGUCUGGGUUAAUACCCUGGGCUAAUGACGGUACCGUAAGAAUAAGCACCGGCUAACUACGUGCCAGCAGCCGCCGUAAAAC
rnacentral:rRNA from 1 species